rnacentral:rRNA from 1 species
UACGAAAGGGGCUAGCGUUGUUCGGAAUUACUGGGCGUAAAGCGCACGUAGGCGGAUUAGUAAGUAAGGGGUGAAAUCCCGGGGCUCAACCUCGGAACUGCCUUUGAUACUGCUGAUCUCGAGUCCGGAAGAGGUGAGUGGAAUUCCUAGUGUAGAGGUGAAAUUCGUAGAUAUUAGGAAGAACACCAGUUGCGAAGGCGGCUCAUUGGCCCGGUACUGACGCUGAGGUGCGAAAGCGUGGUGAGCAAACAGG